AACUUUUUUUUUAAUAACUAACAGCAAGAUUAUUAGUGUUCCUUUUCAAUUACGUAUUCAAGCUUAUGUAUACAAAGUAUGUUGAUUCUUUAGGCCCCCAAUGAGGCUGAAUCUAGAUCCAUAAUGAACAUGAUUAUUCUAAUGGGGAAUUAGAUUAGCAUCAUAAUCUCUCAGCACUGGACGUGGACAUUUUUGUCUUGUUUUCCUUUCCUUCUCUUUUUCUUAUGCUGGCAAAAAAAAAAA
rnacentral:misc_RNA from 1 species